rnacentral:rRNA from 1 species
GACGAACGCUGGCGGCGUGCUUAACACAUGCAAGUCGAACGGAGUGGCGAACGGGUGAGUAACACGUGGGUGACCUGCCCUGCACCUCGGGAUAAGCCUGGGCAACUGGGUCUAAUACCGGAUAGUGUGUGAUGGGCCCUCGGCCAAUCAGCUUGUGGGUGGGGUAAUGGCCUACCACGGCGGCGCCGGGUAGCCGGCCUGAGCGGGUGGGCGGCCACAUUGGGACUGAGACACGGCCCAGACGCCUACGGUAGGCAGCAGUGUGGAAUAUUGCACAAGGUGCGGAAGCCUGAUGCAGCGACGCCGCGUGGGGGAUGACGGCCUUCGGGUUGUAAACUCCUUUCACCAUCGACGCGGUAGAUGGAGAAGAAGCACCGGCUAACUACGUGCCAGCAGCCGCGGUAAGUC